GGUCGGUUAGCUCAGUUGGUUAGAGCGUCGUACUAAUAUAGAAUCUCCUAUAUCAAGUAAAUGCGAAGGUCAUGAGUUCGACCCUCAUACUGACCA